GUAGGGUGAACCUGCGGAGGGAUCAUUA
rnacentral:rRNA from 2 species